rfam:Beta vulgaris subsp. vulgaris chromosome 8, whole genome shotgun sequence.
GUGGAUAUAGUCGAAUGGUAAAAUUUCUCUUUGCCAAGGAGAAGACGCAGGUUCGAUUCCCGCUAUUCACU